GCUUGUCUCAAAGAUUAAGCCAUGCAUGUCUAAGUAUAAGCACCCUUAUACUGCGAAACUGCGUACAGCUCAUUAUAUCAGCAAUUAUUUAUUUGAAGGUCACCUAUUACAUGGAUAACCGUGGUAAUUCUAGAGCUAAUACGUGCGUAAAUCCCGACUCCUGGAAGGGACGUAUUUAUUAGAUUUAAGGCCAACCGAGCUUGCUCGUCUCUUGGUGAAUCAUGAUAACUUCACGAAUCGCAUGGCCUCGCGCCGGCGAUAUUUCAUUCAAAUUUCUGCCCUAUCAAUUGGCGAUGGUAGGAUAGAGGCCUACCAUGGUGUUAACGGGUGACGGGGGAUUAGGGUUCGAUUCCGGAGAGGCAGCCUGAGAAACGGCUACCACAUCCAAGGAAGGCAGCAGG
rnacentral:rRNA from 1 species